UACGAAGGGGGCGAGCGUUGUUCGGAUUUACUGGGCGUAAAGGGCGCGCAGGCGGCUCAUUUUGUCAGGCGUGAAAGCCCCGGGCUUAACCUGGGAACUGCGUUUGAGACGGAUGGGCUAGAGUUCGGGAGAGGAGAGUGGAAUUCCCAGUGUAGAGGUGAAAUUCGUAGAUAUUGGGAAGAACACCGGUGGCGAAGGCGGCUACCUGGCCCAACAUUGACACUGAGACCCGAAAGCGUGGGGAUCAAACAGG
rnacentral:rRNA from 1 species